CAGUCGCCACGGGAAUACGAAGGGGGCUAGCGUUAAUCGGAAUUACUGGGCGUAAAGCGUACGCAGGCGGUCUGUUAAGUCAGAUGUGAAAUCCCCGGGCUUAACCCGGGAACUGCAUUUGAAACUGUCAGGCUGGAGUCUUGUAGAGGGGGGUAGAAUUCCAGGUGUAGCGGUGAAAUGCGUAGAGAUCUGGAGGAAUACCGGUGGCGAAGGCGGCCCCCUGGACAAAGACUGACGCUCAGGUGCGAAAGCGUGGGGAGCAAACAGGAUUAGAUACCCCGGUAGUCCCUGUCUCUUAUAC
rnacentral:rRNA from 1 species